rnacentral:rRNA from 1 species
UUGGAGGGCAAGUCUGGUGCCAGCAGCCGCGGUAAUUCCAGCUCCAAUAGCGUAUAUUAAAGUUGUUGCAGUUAAAAAGCUCGUAGUUGAAUUUCGGGGUUCAUCCGUUGGUCGGGCUUUUUUGGUCUGUACUGGCGUGAUGGAUUCCUACCUUCUGAAUAACCAGCAUGUCAUUAAUUUGGUGCGCUGGGGAAGCAGGACUGUUACCUUGAAAAAAUUAGAGUGCUUAAAGCAGGCUAUCGCCUGAAUACAUUAGCAUGGAAUAAUGAAAUAGGACGGCAUGGUUCUAUUUUGUUGGUUUCUAGGAUCACCGUAAUGAUUAAUAGGGAUAGUUGGGGGCAUUAGUAUUCAAUUGUCAGAGGUGAAAUUCUUGGAUUUAUUGAAGACUAACUUCUGCGAAAGCAUUCGCCAAGGAUGUUUUCAUUAAUCAAGAACGAAAGUUAGGGGAUCGAAGACGAUCAGAUACCGUCGUAGUCUUAACCAUAAACUAUGCCGACUAGGGAUCGGACGAUGUUAAUUUUUUAAUGACUCGUUCGGCGCCUUACGGGAAAC